ensembl:lncRNA
UGUGGAGUUAAACACAGUGGAUGAUGUUUUGAGUAGGAUGUUGUGUUGAGGUUGCUUUGGGGUUGUGUGGUGGUUAUAUAGAGGUUGUGUGGUGGUUAUAUAGAGGUUGUGUGCAGGUUAUAAAGAGGUUGUUGGGAGGUUGUAUUGAGGUUGUGUGCAGGUUAUAUAGAGGUUGUUGGGAGGUUGUAUUGAGGUUGUGUGCAGGUUAUAUAGAGGUUGUGUGCAGGUUAUAUAGAGGUUGUGGGGAGGUUGUAUUGAGGUUGUGUGCAGGUUAUAUAGAGGUUGUGGGGAGGUUGUAUUGAGGUUGUGUGGAGGUUGCAUUGACGCUGUGUGGAAGUUGUAUUAUGUUGAGGUUUUAUUGAGGUUAUAUGGAUG